UGAUGAUAGUCUACUUCCAUCUAUCAAAAAACAAAGACAAGAAAGGAGAGGAAAGACCUCCACAACCCUGGAUUGCCAACUCGAAUAGAGAGCAGUUGGUUGAAAGAAUGAGAGCAGAAAUGGAUGAACAUAUGGGAAUUGUAAAGAUGGCCGAAACAAAAGAGAAAUUGAAACAAAUGAAGAAAAAAGAAAAGAAAGAAAAAAACAAAAA